UCCGGUUUGGCACCGGCAGUCUCCCACGAGUCCCCGGCAUAAUCCGCUGGCAACAUGGGAUAGGGGUUGCGCUCGUUGAUGGACUUAACCAAACAUCUCACGACACGAGCUGACGACGGCCAUGCAUCACCUGUCACUGCGGCCCGAAGGCACAGUCUCCUUUCGGAGACCUUGGCAGGAUGUCAAGCCUGGGUAAGGUUCUUCGCUUAUCAUCGAAUUAAACAACACGCUCCACCGCUUGUGCGGGUUCCCGUCAAUUCCUUUAUGUUUUAAGCUUGCGCUCGUACUCCACAGGCGGGAUGCUUAACGCGUUAGCUUCGCCACAUCCGGGAUCGAUACCGGGUACGGCUAGCAUCCAUAGUUUACGGCGUGGACUAC
rnacentral:misc_RNA from 1 species